rnacentral:lncRNA from 10 species
GGAAACUAAUGUAAUUGGAGAGGGAGGAGAAGGAGAAAAUAAUUCAGAAAUACAGAGGAGCUAGGCAAGGAGCGGUGAUAGAUUGCUCCAGAAAGGCAAAAGAAUCAUCUGAAAGGAAUGUGGAGAUCAGAGAAAAAUGAUGGGAAAGUUACCACAGCCUGCAAAUGAGAAAUGAUGAGAGCCUGCCUGGGUUUUGCCAGGACGAUUAAAUAUCAUUGAUGCUUCUGGUCUACAAUUAGUCAGAGAAGAGAUUAAAAAAAUGAUGAGUAUUCAAGAAGGAAAGUGUUUGCUUUAACAUAUGAAGAAAAGGAGCUUCAGAGUGGUGAUUAACCCCAGAAUUGUGUGGAACGGAUAUGGAAACAAGACCACAGGAGCAUCGAGAACUGAGCAGAACUGAAGGUGACAUGAAAAUCAGCUGCAAGAUUCACCUCAGGGUGAUAAUGGGCUGCAGGUGGCUGCAGGAAUCCCGGGACAUUCUAGGCACUGCCAUAUUUUCUUAGGGGCCAGUAAGGAUGGCUAUCAUCAGAUGUACCUGAUGAUACAAACAUGGGCUGUCUUGCCUUCUAGUAUUCAUUCUUGAUGAUUGCAUCCAGAGCUCACUUUGGAGGUGCAGAUCAACUCUUCUUCAGGCUCAUCCAUGCGACUUGAGUGGGCUCUCAUCCCCAUUCCCAGGGGCUUAUGACAAUCAAGGUUUCCACUCCUCCAUGGUCUCAAUGGUUUUUCUCCCCAUGGGAAGCACAUAAUCCCAUUAGAGGCCACGGGAAGCUUUUUUGUUGGGCUUUGAGGGAAAAAAGGCUUUUGCAGCCAAUGAAUCGAUCAAUGUGUACUUCAACCUGGAUUGUAUGUAUGCAUCUCCUAGAUUGGGCGGAUGAUGAAGUGAGGCUGGAAGUGCUGAGCAUCUUCCUACCUGGGAUGACUGGGCUGAGCAGGAAGCCUACCCCGGGGUUCCAGCCAAGUUGGAGCCUGUGAGUGUGUGGUGUAGUUUAACGCCCUGAUUAAAUCACUAGGAAGCCAUUUCUCUCUCUCCUCCCAGACCAGAUCAGACAAUAUGUUCCCUUAUUUCUACUAAAGCCCCAAUUGGAUUUUGUGUCUUUUGAUACUGAAAGAAUCUUACCACAAAUAAAAUAAUUUGUCAUGUGGCUCCUACAUAUUUAUUCAGUUACAUAAACUAACUAAAUAAAUGAAUAAACUGUCAAUAAUGGUAGUUCCUCAUCUAUGAAUGACUCUUUACAAAGCCUAUCUCGCUUAAUAGUCAUAAUAAAUACUGAAGUAGAUACUAUUUAUACCUUUUUUUUAAAAGGAAUUAAAUAUUUUCAGGGUUAUACAAAGCAUGAGUAUUGUGGGUACAAAUUCAAGCUUUCUAACUCAAAUUUGAAGACUUAUCCCCAGGAUACUUUUACAUCUUUAGCUAGUACCAUGUAUACCUCAAAAGCUUACAUUAUUUUUCACAUGUGUUAGGUUUUGAGGGAUAAUCAAUAAGGAGGGCAUACUUUCAGGCUUCUUAUUUAUAACUGUGAAAUUUAGAAAUUGAUGGAGUAGCAGAUUUCUCGGUAGGAGACAGCUGUUUUAAAAUGCCCCAUGUUUUUAUUAAAGUAAAAAUCUCAAAAAUUGUCUUUUAAAAAGUGGCUCUGGCCAAUCUUAGAUAAAACAUCAUUUACUAGACUUAGGAAUUUCCUGUAGUAAAUUUCAGAUUUACUUUUCGGUCUCACAUCAUCAAAGAGAUCAUAACCCUUUGUGCAAUUAUGGUCUUGAACCAAGGCCUAUUCUCUAGGUCACUGCUGUCAGGACUUCAAGAUAAUUGUUUCCAUUGCAGGAUUUGAUUUUUAAUUCCCCGGAUGUUCUUGACGUGGUUCAGUUCUUCAGGAAAUCAUCACCCUCAUGAGCCCUCCCUGCCACUUGCAGAUAGGGCUUUCUCCCGGUAAGUUCUGGAGUCACGGCAGAGCUCAAUAAGUCUGAUUGGGACCUCCUAUGAUUAU